UUUAACACAUGCAAGUCGAGGGGAAACGACAUCGAAAGCUUGCUUUUGAUGGGCGUCGACCGGCGCACGGGUGAGUAACGCGUAUCCAACCUGCCCACCACUUGGGGAUAACCUUGCGAAGGUAAGACUAAUACCCAAUGAUAUCUCUAGAAGACAUCUGAAAGGGAUUAAAGAUUUAUCGGUGAUGGAUGGGGAUGCGUCUGAUUAGCUUGUUGGCGGGGUAACGGCCCACCAAGGCGACGAUCAGUAGGGGUUCUGAGAGGAAGGUCCCCCACAUUGGAACUGAGACACGGUCCAAACUCCUACGGGAGGCAGCAGUGAGGAAUAUUGGUCAAUGGGCGAGAGCCUGAACCAGCCAAGUAGCGUGCAGGAUGACGGCCCUAUGGGUUGUAAACUGCUUUUAUAAGGGAAUAAAGUGAGUCUCGUGAGACUUUUUGCAUGUACCUUAUGAAUAAGGACCGGCUAAUUCCGUGCCAGCAGCCGCGGUAAUACGGAAGGUCCGGGCGUUAUCCGGAUUUAUUGGGUUUAAAGGGAGCGUAGGCCGGAGAUUAAGCGUGUUGUGAAAUGUAGACGCUCAACGUCUGCACUGCAGCGCGAACUGGUUUCCUUGAGUACGCACAAAGUGGGCGGAAUUCGUGGUGUAGCGGUGAAAUGCUUAGAUAUCACGAAGAACUCCGAUUGCGAAGGCAGCUCACUGGAGCGCAACUGACGCUGAAGCUCGAAAGUGCGGGUAUCGAACAGGAUUAGAUACCCUGGUAGUCCGCACGGUAAACGAUGGAUGCCCGCUGUUGGUCUGAAUAGGUCAGCGGCCAAGCGAAAGCAUUAAGCAUCCCACCUGGGGAGUACGCCGGC
rnacentral:rRNA from 1 species